UAGUCAUAUGCUUGUCUCAAAGAUUAAGCCAUGCAUGUCUCAGUGUAAACUUUUAAACAGUGAAACUGCGAAUGGCUCAUUAAAACAGUUAUAGUUUAUUUGAUAAUCAUUAUUUACAUGGAUAACCGUGGGAAUUCUAGGGCUAAUACAUGCGUACCCGCAAGGGUUGUGUUUAUUAGAUUAUAAACCAACACUGUAGCAAUACAGUACCGUUGGAAUGAUAAUAACCGAUCGGAUCGCACGCUUUAUAGUGGCGACAGAUCAUUCAAGUUUCUGAU
rnacentral:rRNA from 1 species